CCCUUAGACGUUCUGGGCCGCACGCGCGCUACACUGACCAGUGCAACAAGCAUCCGUCCUUGGCCGACAGGCCCGGGCAAUCUUUGAACGCUGGUCGUGAUGGGGAUAGACUUUUGCAAUUUUUGGUCUUCAACGAGGAAUUCCCAGUAAGCGCAAGUCAUAAGCUUGCGUUGAUUACGUCCCUGCCCUUUGUACACACCGCCCGUCGCUACUACCGAUUGAACGUUUUAGUGAGGUAUUUGGACUGGACCUUCGGAGGUUCGCGCCUCCGUUGCUGUUCGGGAAGACUCCCAAACUUGAGCGUUUAGAGGAAGUAAAAGUCGUAACA
rnacentral:rRNA from 1 species